CCCGGAGCUGUCAAACACCAGCUCCGGUCAGUGGAGAAAGCAGACUAAUCCACCAGACAAACAACUCGGAAAGAUUAACAUUCAUUAGCCUUAACCCUUCGACUGCUUGACGUCUCCACUUCCCGAGGACUCGAAUGGUUAUCUUUUUCAUGACACUCCGUUUUUCUCAGUCACAUGGCUGCUGGAGAAUUCAAUAACAACCAAAAAUGGCGACAAUCACGUUGCGCUGUGUGCUCUUGCUGCGUCAUGACAAAUAUCGUUGUAAACACGGAAGGAAUGUCAGAGGCGAGGUAAAUGGAGUUGUUUACAUGAAGUGCAGAGGGCGGGCCGAGGAGGAGGAGCCGUGACGUCAGCACUCCGGAGAGGAAUCAUAACAAGUGUGACGUCACUCAGUCUGGUGAUCCCUGGGGGAAAGACGAGUGACGCGAGCGCCUUCUAGAUGUGGCAGGCUGCCCUGGUUCAGUUAUCACGGUGCUGAUGCUGUCCACAUCGAAGGUACAGUACUGUGAUAACUGAAGGAUGGCUGCCAUCUUGACACUGGUGGAACGGAUGCAUGGAGUCGACAGCGGUUACCUUUACCAACGGUUAACGGUAACAUCUAAUUAAUAAACGGAUUAUCUGACAGUUUGAAAGUUGAUUUCUUUUAUUGUUUCUUCUUCUUCUUUUUUGCUUGUUUGGCUUUGUUUAAAUAUUUAUCUGUAAAUCUUUAAUGGCCAUUUUAUUAUAAUCAACUAAGUUUAGUUUCCUUCAAUUGUUAGUAAUGAAAUAUCUUUAAUCAUGAUGAUUCAGGAAUUAACAGCCAAAACAUGUCAGUUAACUUUAACUAACCCUGAGACAAAUGUGUCAUUUCUUGAAUACGUUUUAUGCAAUUUUGUUGCAUAAUGUUUAAAGGACUUCCUUCUCCCUCAAUGGCCAUGAGCUUUGGGUAGUUGGCAAAAAGAAGAAACAAGCAACAACUUUACUUUACAGAUCUCAGUAGCAUGUAGUAGCAGAGUCCUGAGGGAGAGACUCAGAAUGGAUGUUGUGCUCCCCCACAUUGAAAGACGCCCGCUAAGGUAUUGACUCUACCAAUGUCCACCCGACUGCAGUCAGGCUUUAAGAAUCGCAUAUUCAGUUAUGAUCAGGAAUUACAACAAAAUACAAUGCAUGAAUACAAAGCUGUGUGAGGUACGAGCCAUAAGGUGGACGUUGUGUGUCCCAAGAGUAUCAUUCACUUUAAAAUGUGCUUUAAAAAAAACUACGCGUUAAUAAUGAUCAAAAUAUUCACGUGAAACAGAAAACUCCACCCAAAUGUUUGACGCAAUAGAGUCAGCAGAUGGCGCUAAAUUUCUGCGUUAGUCUUAGUACAUAAAUAAUGUUUAAAGUCACAUUAUGUAAUGCACAACGCGUUUUAAUACGAGCAAGGUUCACAUAUAGGGUCAUCAAAAUAAAAAUCUACGUAUUUGUCUUGAAAUUUUAUUUUACUUUGUCAUCUCUAUGGACGCAUGUUCAUGCAAUGACAUGACAGAAAGUGCAUUUGUUGACUCGUACAUCUUCUUAUCCCAGCUGCAUGGGUUAACAUUGAGGACACAGGGCACCAGGGUGAAGUUCGCUAUAUGAGCAUUAUUAACAACUGUAUUAAACUUGAUGUUAGACAAAUGUUUUUGAUUGAUUCAUCCUCCCCUUAUAGUCCUUACCUGCUGCACCCAUUUACCUUUCGUUCCACAUCCUUUGGUCCAUCCCUAUUCCUCACUUCAUCCACCCUACGUCUUGCCCUCUUUCCUGUCUCAAUCAUCGUCUGUAUUUAGAUUAGAUUUCAUUUAUUCAUUCCCUUACCACCUCAUAAUCUUCCUUUCAACAUCCUGUCCAUAUUUACCUCUCUCUUGUCCCUUUUCAUCUUUGCCUACACUUGUUCCAUUUACUUCAUCCAGGUCUACUUAAUUGUAUAGGACCACAGAUGUGGUGAGAACUGCAGCCUGGAGUCAUAUCAUAUCUAUAUUUUUUGGUGGUCUGCCAGACUUUUUUCUCCUGCACCCUGGUAACUUUCGUAUUCCAAAAGUAUGAAGAGGUUCAAUGUUUCUACUCAAUUUUCCACAGGUUUGUGUGUGUGGUGGUCUGUCUUUAAGUGCCCUAAUGUGGACUGGCAAACAAUACAGGGGUUCCCCCAACUCAGCUUCACUUUGUUAGGACAGACUCUGGUCUGCCGCAAACAAAUGAUGGAUAUAAUAUGAACUAUAACUUGUAAAAAUAAAAUAUUUGAAAACUAAGCCUUGAUUCUCAACACUGAAACCGGUGAGAAUGUCUUGAUAGGGCAAGAGCUAAUGGCUCUGUAAGGAGAAGUUGGAAUAUUUUCUUCCAUGUCAUCAUGUUUUAUCUGAAAGUGGUGGUUUCUGGGUGGGGCUUUGUGUUCUUCCUGUGCUUCUGUGGCUCUUGUCCGCUGAGUUUCUUACAACAGCCGAUAGCGAUUCAAUUUAUUUGUUUACAUUGUGUGCAUUAAUGGGUUGUGUGAUGGAGCAUUUGUAAUUUGUGUCCAAAUCAGUCGCCUUCCCCAACUUUCAAAAGGAUCUCUCAACUCGACCGACUCUUGCCUCAGCUCCUGUAUCUGUCAGUUGGGAGAACCUCUAAUGUAAAUAAGGAAAUAGAUAAAUAAAUGGGCUCAU